UCCAAACACAGCCACAUUGGGGGUUGGGAUUCAACAUACUAAUUUAAAGGGAGACACAUUCAGACAUAACAGAUGGCACAGAGAAAGCCUUAAGAGAAAACAUUUCAGGAAGCAGAGAGUAGACUGUUUUAGUUGUUACUUUUAUGUAGCAGACUGAGGACUGCCUAUUGGGUUGGGCAACAUGUAGGUAGUUGAUGACUUUGAUGCAAUCAGUUUCAAUCAGUGGUAAGAGAAAAAAAAAAAAAAAGCCAGACUGAAAUGAGUUGAGUAGCAAGUGGAAAUUGUACAUCAGAGAUAAUGAAUAGGCAACAUAAGAAAUAUGGCUCUGAAGAAGAGCAGUGAAACGAAUGUUCUACUUCGGCCUAGGAGAAAUUGCCUGACGGUUGAUGGAUGUGUCACACCAGUGUAAAUGCUACCUUCCUGGGAGACAUAAUAACAGCAAAGUUAAUGGAUGUUUAUCUUCAGAACUGUGGAUAUGCUACCUGGAAAAAUGAAAGGCAUUGUUGAUGACAGUUCUUUAAGUGGAGGAAGAACAAUGCAUGGCAUUGAUGCACUGACUGCUGAGUCUGGGAAGAUAUUGAAAAGUUGAGCUUUUAAGUGGGUCUUCCCCUUCCACCUGUAAGUGGAGCUACCAGAGGAAACAAAUAUUCACAAAAAGCUAAGAAGGAACUCAAGAUAAGGAAAAAACUCAUCCCGAUCAGCAGAUAAGGUCUUUACUGGCAAGCACCGGGAAGCUGGCUGCACCCUGUCUGACCUUGCAAAGGAGCUCCCUCUUUGUUCCAUGAAGAGACGUACUUUUGUGCUGUUAAGACAAGGGUGGAAUGCCCAGGAAGAAACCAUCAUAAGGCAAUGAAGAUAGGACUUUGUCCUCUGAAAUACUAUGAGAAUCAGGAGAAUGGCAAAAUGUAUCACCACCAUUGUGUGACACAUUCCUUCCUGGAAAGGUGGUGUUGAAAUUUUCAUGGACAGUCAGUCACUUUACCAUGUAGGACGGAAGCUGUGUUGUCAGAACCAUGCUUUCAACAAACUUGUGUGCUCAGAAAGAAUGAUGAGUCCCCCAAAAUAGGCAAGACACUCACAAACCCAAACAAA